rnacentral:tRNA from 1 species
UGCGGGGUGGAGCAGUCUGGUAGCUCGUCGGGCUCAUAACCCGAAGGUCAUAGGUUCAAAUCCUAUCCCCGCUA